rnacentral:rRNA from 1 species
AUACGUAGGGGGCGAGCGUUGUCCGGAAUGAUUGGGCGUAAAGGGCGCGUAGGCGGCCCGGUAAGUCUGGAGUGAAAGUCCUGUUUUUAAGAUGGGAAUUGCUUUGGAUACUGUCGGGCUUGAGUGCAGGAGAGGCAAGUGGAAUUCCCAGUGUAGCGGUGAAAUGCGUAGAGAUUGGGAGGAACACCAGUGGCGAAGGCGACUUACUGGACUGUAACUGACGCUGAGGCGCGAAAGUGUGGGGAGCAAACAGGAUUAGAUACCCUGGUAGUCCACACUGUAAACGAUGAAUGCUAGGUGUAGGGGGUAUCGACCCCUUCUGUGCCGCAGUCAACACAAUAAGCAUUCCGCCUGGGGAGUACGGCCGCAAGGUUGAAACUCAAAUGAAUUGACGGGG